rnacentral:rRNA from 1 species
CAGUCGCCGCGGGAAUACGUAGGUGGCGAGCGUUGUCCGGAAUUAUUGGGCGUAAAGGGAGCGCAGGCGGACAUAUAAGUCCAUCUUAAAAGUGCGGGGCUCAACCCCGUGAGGGGAUGGAAACUGUAUGCCUUGAGUGCAGGAGAGGAAAGCGGAAUUCCCAGUGUAGCGGUGAAAUGCGUAGAUAUUGGGAGGAACACCAGUGGCGAAGGCGGCUUUCUGGACUGCAACUGACGCUGAGGCUCGAAAGCCAGGGGAGCGAACGGGAUUAGAUACCCGCGUAGUCCCUGUCUCUUAUACA